rfam:Bacillus sp. X1(2014), complete genome.
AGAGUCCUGAGAUGUGCGUUGUAUUACCUGAAGUUUUGACCGAACACUUUUUUAUUCGGGAGUCUGGAGUUUUCUGACGGCGUAAAAGCCUCACUUCUCGGCGAGCAAGAGGACUUACAAACUCAGAAACAGGACACCCACCUGCUGCGUGCGGGAUCAAAACAAAGGAUCAAAAGCGACGGCAUUAUUGGGACUCUU